ACUCGCACCAUCCGGGCCUCCAGCGCCUCACACACGUGUCACGGCGACGCUUAAAGGAGCCGCGCCCUGCGGCCGCACUGCGCUGACACAGAGAGGUCUAGACAGCUUUAAGAGGCGGAGCUGUCAGCUCUUUGGUUCCGCCCAUCUCCGCUUUACGCGCACUUACGUCACCGCCGUGUUCCCCAGCCCCUCCCCAUAGCCUACGUGAUGACGCAAAGCGCAGAAUUGAGAGUGUUCUGUCCCCUGGGCAGAAUUGCUGGAUGUUGCAACACUGCCCUUUGGGAAGCCUCACUUCUAGUACCACUGCUCGCCUGGCAUGCGUCAGAAUCACUAAGUAAGCUUCGCCCUCUUCGACUCUAUGUGAAGGUCUUCGUUGAGAGGUUGAAUAUUUGCAAAUGUAUGGCUCUGCAGUGAAGUUCCCCUCACUCGAAGCAGCUUCAUGGGCUUCCUCACGGCCCCAUUCCCCAAGGGAGGAGGACAUGUUUCCUCGCCUUACUUCAGGAACUCUUUGAGAAGCACAGGGUGAGAAUAAACUAUUUUUCCCAAAAGA